rnacentral:rRNA from 1 species
UGGGGAAUAUUGGACAAUGGGCGCAAGCCUGAUCCAGCCAUGCCGCGUGAGUGAUGAGGGCCCUAGGGUUGUAAAGCUCUUUCACCGGGGAAGAUAAUGACGGUAACCGGAGAAGAAGCCCCGGCUAACUUCGUGCCAGCAGCCGCGGUAAUACGAAGGGGGCUAGCGUUGUUCGGAUUUACUGGGCGUAAAGCGCACGUAGGCGGACUUUUAAGUCAGGGGUGAAAUCCCGGGGCUCAACCCCGGAACUGCCUUUGAUACUGGAAGUCUUGAGUAUGGUAGAGGUGAGUGGAAUUCCGAGUGUAGAGGUGAAAUUCGUAGAUAUUCGGAGGAACACCAGUGGCGAAGGCGGCUCACUGGACCAUUACUGACGCUGAGGUGCGAAAGCGUGGGGAGCAAACAGG